rnacentral:rRNA from 1 species
GACGAACGCUGGCGGCGUGCCUAAUACAUGCAAGUAGAACGCAGUUGCGAACGGGUGAGUACCGCGUAGGUAACUGCCUGUUAGCGGGGGAUAACUAGUGGAAACGAUAGCUACUACCGCAUACUAGCAGAUGGACCUGCGUUGUAUUAGCUAGUUGGUGGGGUAAUGGCCCACCUAGGCAACGAUACAUAGCCGACCUGGCAGGGUGAUCGGCCACACUGGGACUGAGAGACGGCCCAGACUCCUACGGGAGGCAGCAGUAGGGAAUCCUCGGCAAUGUGGGGAACGCUGACCGAGCAACGCCGCGUGAGUGAAGAAGGUUUUCGGAUCGUAAAGCUCUGUUGUUAAGGAAGCGGUACUUAACCAGAAAGGGACGGCUAACUACGUGCCAGCAGCCGCGGUAAUAC